rnacentral:rRNA from 1 species
UACAUAGGGGGCGAGCGUUAUCCGGAAUUAUUGGGCGUAAAGCGUACGUAGGCGGAAUGAUAAGUCAUUUGUAAAAGAUCUCGGCUCAACCGAGUAAGGCGAAUGAAACUGUCAAUCUUGAGUAUGGUGGAGGUAAGCGGACUUUCAAGUGUAGCGGUGGAAUGCGUAGAUAUUUGAAGGAACACCGAUGGCGAAGGCAGCUUACUGGGCCAGAACUGACGCUGAGGUACGAAAGCGUGGGUAGCAAACAGGAUUAGAUACCCUGGUAGUCCACGCCGUAAACGAUGAGUGCUAAGUGUUAGAGGGUUUCCGCCCUUUAGUGCUGCAGCAAACGCAUUAAGCACUCCGCCUGGGGAGUACGGCCGCAAGGCUGAA